rnacentral:lncRNA from 1 species
UUCCCCUUAAUCUUUCUUUCUUCACUCUAUCUCCUCCCCUUCCACACUCUCUGCUGCUCCGCCUAUCACCGCCGGCCUUUAAUCGCCACCACCGGUCGGCCGUCGUCCAAACCACCCCAAAAUUUCACUUCUUCCUCUUAGCCUCUUCUCCAUGAAUCCAAGCCUCAAAUUCUCCAAAUCUCCACCAAUCUCCACAGAUCUACCUAAAUCCGAAAAACCCUAGCCGCCGCCUCAAAAUUCCUAGAGUUUGAGCCACCCCACACCGUAAUACAUACAUAAAUGGAUAGAUCUCACGAGAUCUAUCCAUUUCUACUAGUUUCACCACCAAAAAACCCUACCACUGCCGUCCGACCACGCAAAAACCAUACUACCCACAACCACCAAUCACAUCAAACCUAUGUUUUUGAAAUUAUCGACUCAAAGACCCUUGUUUCGUUUUGGCAAGACGCCGAAACGCUUUUGUUUUAGCGUCUACCCGAAAAAAAUGUGCGUUUCGGAGUCGGACAGCCACCGCUUGGUGUCUCUAUCGUCUUCUAGUGGCUCGAGACUGCCCUGAUUGCACUUGUUUGGUAUACUUCUAUCUCUUGUUUCCUUUUUAAUUUUUUCUGUUUCAUUAAAGUUAGUUUAGGCCUAGGUUUAGCGUAAUUUUUUUUUAUUUGUUUAUUUUUCGUGAUGAUCUUUUUUUAGUUUGUGUAUUUUCUUUUGAUCAAAUAGUUUAGAUGUUUUAGCCGAAAAUAGUAGCUUAAUUGCUCAAUGAAUCUUGUUCAGUUCUUGUUUGUGAUUUAGUAGUUUGGUAUAAAAUGUUCUGAUUAGCUGCUUGUAAUGAUCGUUUAAGUAAGUUUGUAUUUGUUUAGUUUGAGUUAGUGACUCAUUGAUCUUGAUCGGGUAUUGGUUGCAUAAACUAAAUUAAUUUAAUCUAGUUAGAUCGAGCUUUGUUACAUUUGCAGUCUUAUUUAUGCUUUGACAGUCCAUUAGUUGUUUGAGUUUGAUUUGGUUCAAAAUCAGUAGGGGUGGUACAUAUUUUGGUUUGAAGAUGAAGUUUAGGUAAUUUGAUCAUGAUUUAGGGUAUUUGUGACCUACCUUUUACUAGUAGGGUGGCUGAAAUGACUUUUUUCCUCCUUGCUUUUGCCACAGCAGUUUUCAGGCUGUCCUUUCACCUUUUGGACAACCCUUAAACAAUGUUUAGCACACAAAAUCAGUCUUUUUUGGACAGAUUUUUGGUGAACCAAAAUUUAUCCAGUAAGUUGCUUUCUUUGCCUACUUAAGGGCUGCUCUUUCCACAUUUUAACACACACACUUUAACACACUUAGACAUAUCUUUCACUCUAAGCAAAACACACAACUUUGUGAGUAAAAGAUAGCAGCUGAACACUUAACAGAAAGCUGAAAAUUGUGAGCUUUUGUGAGUGAAUCUUAGAGUGUAAACCCUUUGGGAAAAAAAAUGAAGGAUCUCUUAGGUGAUUCUUGAAAUUACUAGUGAUUAGUUUCAAGUGAUUCUUAUUGUGUUUUUCUGGGUUAUUCUUGGGUCUGCUACUGCUAAUUUGCUGAUGUCUCCACUGCUGUUAUUGCUGGUUCUGCUUGUUGGUUUCAAGUAGUUUUGGUAUCAAAAGAUUUUCUUGCUUCUUCUUUCUCUAAAUUCUGCAACAAGGUAUUAUGUUAAACGCUAUAUAACAGGCGUGAUAAAGUGAAUAAGAAUCAUGAUGUGUUGAAUGUUUACUUCCAUUGUGUAACAUGUUCUUUAGCUUAAUGUAUGCAAAAAUGGUUGUUCGUAUGUUUGGAAUCUAAGUUGUGGAAGUUUUAAAUAGCUAUUAUUGUUUCAAAGCUUAGAGACGUACAUGCUAUAUCUCUUUUGAUCAUGAAUAUUGAUGCUUAUCAAAUCUGACCAUCCUCGACCGGCUUAAUAAUUUCAAUCCACAGACAAAAGUGGUUAUGCUUGUGAAUAUAGCUGUUCAAAUAACAAAAUGGAACUAUUUUCAGCUACGCCUUAAACUAAAUUGGCUUUCAUAUUCUGUCCAAAUGUGUGAAAGUUUUAAGUAGAUUUUGGUUCAUUUAAGUUCAUUAUUCUUUACUGCCAUCUCGCUUUAACAGUCUUCGAAGCCGCGUUUAAAUUUUUCACGUUUUGUUAUUUCCUUUUUGGAUUACUUCAUUUAUGCUCAUGAAGGUAUAUUUUUUGGUUUAGGCAUUUUGUGAGGUUGAAGUGAUGCCUUCAGUGAUUAGGUGCUCAUUUGAUUGUUUCUUGCUAGGUUAUAGGUUAAUUAACAUAGUGAUAGCACGUAAUUUCGAUUCACUUAAAUGUAAAGUAGUUGAAUAGUUGAAAGAAGAUCUAUGUUUACCUUGUUAAUUAGGACUUAAAUGUAGGAAUUAAAUAGGAUUUAACAAGAGUUGAAUCUGGAAACAAAAUAUCAAGUGUGCUCUGCUGGAAAGAAUUUCAAAGGUUGUG